AUUGAACGCUGGCGGCAGGCCUAACACAUGCAAGUCGAGCGGAUGAAGAGAGCUUGCUCUCUGAUUUAGCGGCGGACGGGUGAGUAAUGCCUAGGAAUCUGCAUGGUAGUGGGGGAUAACGUUCCGAAAGGAACGCUAAUACCGCAUACGUCCUACGGGAGAAAGCAGGGGCCCUCCGGGCCCUGCGCUAUCCGAUGAGCCUAGGUCGGGUUAGCUAGGUGGUAAGGUAAUGGCUCACCAAGGCUACGAUCCGUAACUGGUCUGAGAGGAUGAUCAGUCACACUGGAACCGAGACACGGUCCAUACUCCGACGGGAGGCAGCAGUGGGGAAUAUUGGACAAUGGGCGAAAGCCUGAUCCAGCCAUGCCGCGUGUGUGAAGAAGGUCUUCGGAUUGUAAAGCACUUUAAGUUGGGAGGAAGGGCAGUAAGUUAAUACCUUGCUGUUUUGACGUUACCGACAGAAUAAGCACCGGCUAACUUCGUGCCAGCCGCCGCCGUAACAC
rnacentral:rRNA from 1 species